AGAGUUUGAUCCUGGCUCAGAACGAACGCUGGCGGCAGGCCUAACACAUGCAAGUCGAGCGAACCCUUCGGGGUUAGCGGCGGACGGGUGAGUAACGCGUGGGAAUAUGCCCUUCUCUACGGAAUAGUCUCGGGAAACUGGGGGUAAUACCGUAUACGCCCUUUGGGGGAAAGAUUUAUCGGAGAAGGAUUAGCCCGCGUUGGAUUAGGUAGUUGGUGGGGUAAUGGCCUACCAAGCCUACGAUCCAUAGCUGGUUUGAGAGGAUGAUCAGCCACACUGGGACUGAGACACGGCCCAGACUCCUACGGGAGGCAGCAGUGGGGAAUCUUAGACAAUGGGGGCAACCCUGAUCUAGCCAUGCCGCGUGAGUGAUGAAGGCCUUAGGGUUGUAAAGCUCUUUCAGCUGGGAAGAUAAUGACGGUACCAGCAGAAGAAGCCCCGGCUAACUCCGUGCCAGCAGCCGCGGUAAU
rnacentral:rRNA from 1 species